rfam:Heterocephalus glaber contig163620, whole genome shotgun sequence.
GAAUGUGAGGGGAAUCUGGCUGUGACAUCUGUCAAUCCACUGAUUGCCAAGGUUGAUUCGGCUGAUCUUGCUGGUUAGGCAAGUGUCCCCUUCUCCUUCGCUGCUCCAUGUCCAUCCCUCCUGAAGCUGUGUGCUUGGUUGAAGUUGAAGACCACCUCUGAUAGAUGAGGACUCUUUCCUCUGUCAAUGGUAUACAAGUAGCUGUGAUCCUCUGCUCCAAACAAGCUCUCAAAUAAAAACUGAACAUAUUUCACUAUGUAGGAAAUCAAGAUAUUAUUCUUAUUAAACUCUUUAAUGAUUAGUAAUUAUAAGAUUAUUUUCAUAUCUAU